rnacentral:tRNA from 1 species
GCAGGGGUGGCAGAGCCUGGUCAAAUGCGACAACGCAGACCAAAUGCGCAAGGUUGAGGGCCUUGUCCCUUAGUGGGUGCGAGGGUUCAAAUCCCUUCCCCUGCA